UUGCCUUCAUCAGUCUCACCUGUGUCUUGUCUGUCACACCUGUUUCAUCGCUCCCUGUAUUUAGUCUGUUUCUUCCCAUCUGUGUUAGUGUUUGUCAGACUUUUCCUGUUGUCCCCUGUAUUGUAUUGUUGAAUUUCCUUGUGGCUUCUUGUGUUUUUCCACCUGUUUCAUGGACCUUUACAUUUGGACAUUGUUGUUUCUUUUGGAAUUUGAAACUGUCCGCCACCUCUGGUCAUAGAAGCGACGCAGGACUCUCUGUCUUCUGUGGCACUUGCACCUGAGGAGCCGGGUGAAGGCGCGCUUGAACUCUUUGCUGGAGCAGGGGUAGAUGACGGGGUUGAUGCAGCUGUUGAAGUAGCCCAGCCAGAAGAUCACCUUGAAGACGGUUUCGGAUGGCUUCAGUGCUGGGAAGAAGGAACCUAGAUGGGAGAUGGAGCUAUCAGCUUGGAUUAAACACAGUGUUGACCCUGGACACAGAGGCAACAUAUCACAGUGCUAAUGUCAAAGUCGGCACUCCCUGGGGGAAAAGUCCGUUUUCAAUUUGAGCCUGGUUGUACAAUGUAGAAAUAUAAAAUGGCUUGUCUUUGACUUUCAGAUAAACGGUUCGUAUGGUUUUGACAUUAGAAUAUUAACAAUAUAAUUCUCUUAAAGUUGUAUAUCUUUAUUUCUGCAGCAUGCGUAUUUCCUUAUCUGAUACUAUACUCACAUCUUAAAUGUAU